rnacentral:rRNA from 1 species
GACGAACGCUGGCGGCGUGCCUAAUACAUGCAAGUCGAGCGAAUGGAUGGGAGCUUGCUCCCUGAAGUUAGCGGCGGACGGGUGAGUAACACGUGGGCAACCUGCCUAUAAGACUGGGAUAACUUCGGGAAACCGGAGCUAAUACCGGAUAAUUCAUAUCUACUCAUGUAGAUAUGCUGAAAGACGGUUUACGCUGUCACUUAUAGAUGGGCCCGCGGCGCAUUAGCUAGUUGGUGAGGUAACGGCUCACCAAGGCCACGAUGCGUAGCCGACCUGAGAGGGUGAUCGGCCACACUGGGACUGAGACACGGCCCAGACUCCUACGGGAGGCAGCAGUAGGGAAUCUUCCGCAAUGGACGAAAGUCUGACGGAGCAACGCCGCGUGAGUGAUGAAGGUUUUCGGAUCGUAAAACUCUGUUGUUAGGGAAGAACAAGUACCAGAGUAAC